AGAGUGAACGCUGGCGGCAGGCCUAAUACAUGCAAGUCGAACGGCAGCACGGCAGAGCUUGCUCUGUGGGUGGCGAGUGGCGGACGGGUGAGGAAUACAUGGGAAUCUGCCCAGUCGUGGGGGAUAACGUAGGGAAACUUACGCUAAUACCGCAUGCGCCCUUCGGGGGAAAGCCGGGGACCUUCGGGCCUGGCGCGAUUGGAUGAGCCCAUGUCGGAUUAGCUAGUUGGCGGGUAACGCCCACAAGGCGACGAUCCGU
rnacentral:rRNA from 1 species